rnacentral:rRNA from 1 species
UACGUAGGGUGCGAGCGUUAAUCGGAAUUACUGGGCGUAAAGCGUGCGCAGGCGGUUUUGUAAGCCAGAUGUGAAAGCCCCGGGCUCAACCUGGGAAUGGCAUUUGGGACUGCAAGGCUGGAGUUUGGCAGAGGAGACUGGAAUUCCUGGUGUAGCAGUGAAAUGCGUAGAUAUCUGGAGGAACACCGGUGGCGAAGGCGGCAUCCUGGACCAAUUCUGACACUGAGGAGCGAAAGCCAGGGGAGCAAACGGG